GGGACACGUGGUAUCCUGUCUGAAUAUGGGGGGACCAUCCUCCAAGGCUAAAUACUCCUGACUGACCGAUAGUGAACCAGUACCGUGAGGGAAAGGCGAAAAGAACCCCGGCGAGGGGAGUGAAAAAGAACCUGAAACCGUGUACGUACAAGCAGUGGGAGCACCUUCGGGUGUGACUGCGUACCUUUUGUAUAAUGGGUCAGCGACUUAUAUUCUGUAGCAAGGUUAACCGUAUAGGGGAGCCGCAGGGAAACCGAGUCUUAACUGGGCGUUAAGUUGCAGGGUAUAGACCCGAAACCCGGUGAUCUAGCCAUGGGCAGGUUGAAGGUUGGGUAACACUAACUGGAGGACCGAACCGACUAAUGUUGAAAAAUUAGCGGAUGACUUGUGGCUGGGGGUGAAAGGCCAAUCAAACCGGGAGAUAGCUGGUUCUCCCCGAAAGCUAUUUAGGUAGCGCCUCGUGAACUCAUCUUCGGGGGUAGAGCACUGUUUCGGCUAGGGG
rnacentral:rRNA from 2 species